rnacentral:misc_RNA from 1 species
CUCUUUCUCUACCCAGUAUAAAGCGUAUGAAUAUAAAAAUUCACUUGCAAAAUAAAUUCUAUAGGAAAAUUCAUUUACAAAUGAAAUGAAAUACUUGUUCAUUUGGUUCCAAACAUCAAUUAACAUGACUAAUCAGCACUAAUAUAUUAGCAUCCUAAAUAUUUUCCUUUCAGUUCUGAAGUUUCAAGAAACUAGAAAAAUCAGAGCACAAUGCAUAAAAAAAGCUUUAAGUUCAACAAAUGUCCUGUAAAAUUAAAGGCAGACCAAUAUAGUAGUAAAUGCACGAAGUGCUCAGCUAGUCUAUUCUAUUAGUGGUCCUACAACUUUCAUUCUUCAAUUCACAUUAGUUUUCCAGGACACAAUAAAGCUCAACAAGAAAUAGCCCUAAACACCAAAUCGUAAUUAUCCAAGACAAACAAAUGCUUUCCAAGGCCAUCAUUGUUCUCUUAUAAUACACAGAAACCUAGAAAAGGGAUGCUGGCAUAAGCCUAAAUCCUUUUCUCAAGAACUUAAAUGUGUAGAAAUGAUGAGUUGGAGCAAAUAUAACAGAGUAUGCUUAAAAAGAUUUGUUCUUAACCAGAAAUAUGCAAUUUAGGAAACCUAAGAAAAACCGAUAAUGAAUUUCAACUCUGAGGAGAACAUUGUCAUAAAAGCAGAGCAAUUAGUAGGAUAUUCAAACAUAAUCAUUUAAAUAUGUAACCAUAGAAGCGAAAUUCUAACAGUACCCAAGUUGAUACCAUAUUUCAUUUCCCCUUUUUUCUGUUAUAUCAGCAAUUUUUAAAAGGGAAAGAAGCAUUACAAUUUGAACCCUCGACUUCCUACACUACACAUCAAACACUCUCAUUUCGCUUUUACAAAACCUGUAUUCCCUCUUCAUUAAGGAUACAAGAUAACUUGAAAAUGAGAACAUAUGUCAUGUCAAUGUUGUAUAUGAUAACUUGCUGCCUGUCCCACUCAGAUAGCCAAAAUGUUGAGCUUAGAUCAUAUGGAACUCCCCUUAAUGAUAUGUGAAAAUUCCAAGUUUCUUAAUGUAGAUAAACCAAGAGCAUCCUAACCAUUCACAUUCAAAUUAGUCAUUUAGAACUUGAAGGGGGUAAACAGCAAUUGCUCGUACCUGCCAGUUUUAGUCUGAAGUGGCCAAGUGCUAUCAUCAUAACCCUCUGAUAGAACCUUCAGCAAUUGAACCUUUCCACUGCCAAUGAAAUCAUCAUAUGUUAAGGUAUUGCUGUUCCAAACCGCGACAUUCAUCUCUCUUAGCCCUUCAAUUAAAGUAAAUACAAACUUCUCUUGGAAUGUAGGAUUUUUGCCACCAUCUGUACAGGUUCUUGUGCGGGAUUUAUUACUACCAUAUUCAACAAUAGCAUAAGGAUCUUGCCUAGAAAUCCAUUCUGUAUCUUUCAAUUUAUUACAACAAACAACGGUAACUUCAAGAAGAUGGCCUUGAAUACCAGAAACGGACAUAGUAGUAGAUGGGUAAGGAGAAGAAGAACGCUGAUUUGAAAAUGAAUACAUCAUCCGCUCUGUAAUCUUCUAUUAUAUAUAUAUAUAAAAGACAAAAGGUCUGGCCUUUUUAAUAUUGCUUUUCUUAAAAAAUAUAAGCCAAACCAACGCUGAUAAAUGAAUUACGCCUCCACUUUGAUCAUUUCUUGUUGACUGGGUUUCGGGGGGUCCCUCAUUGCUAUUGGAUUCCUUGGUUGGUUUGAUCGUUUUGGAUUUUUUUUAAAAAUUUAUUUAUCUUCUUU